CAACAUCCAAAUGGAUUAUUUGAUAUUUCUUUCAAUUGGUAUAUGCAAUUAUCUCAUUUUCUUGUGCUUGUUUCUAAUUGAGUUUUUGAAAAGUGUGCAAAUUUUGAGUCAAUAUCAAUGGUUCAAUCAUUAGUUGUUGAAGUUUCAAUUUGUUGUAGGAUUUGUUAAGAGUUUGUUUAAGAAUUAGAGUUUGUUUAGGGCUUGGUUAGGAUUGAUUAGGAAUUUGAUUAGGAUUGGUUUAAGAUUUCAUUAGGGCUUGGUUUAGAAUUUGGUUAGAAUUAAUUUAAGAUUAGUGUAGGAUUUCAUUAGAAUUUGUUGAGGAUUAUAUUAAGAUUUGAUUAGGAUUCAAUUAGGGUUUUUAGUUUUAAUAUUUCUUUAAGAUUUUUUUGAUAUUUCUUUAGGAUUUUUUUAUUAUAUAUAUUUCUUUAAG
rnacentral:lncRNA from 1 species